AGUGAACGCUGGCGGUAGGCCUAACACAUGCAAGUCGAACGGCAGCACAGUAAGAGCUUGCUCUUACGGGUGGCGAGUGGCGGACGGGUGAGGAAUACAUCGGAAUCUACUUUUUCGUGGGGGAUAACGUAGGGAAACUUACGCUAAUACCGCAUACGACCUACGGGUGGAAGCAGGGGAUCUUCGGACCUUGCGCGACUGAAUGAGCCGAUGUCGGAUUAGCUAGUUGGCGAGGUAAAGGCCCACCAAGGCGACGAUCCGUAGCUGGUCUGAGAGGAUGAUCAGCCACACUGGAACUGAGACACGGUCCAGACUCCUACGGGAGGCAGCAGUAGGGAAUAUUGGACAAUGGGCGCAAGCCUGAUCCAGCCAUACCGCGUGGGUGAAGAAGGCCUUCGGGUUGUAAAGCCCUUUUGUUGGGAAAGAAAAGCAGCAGGUUAAUACCCCGCUGUUCUGACGGUACCCAAAGAAUAAGCACCGGCUAACUUCGUG
rnacentral:rRNA from 1 species